rnacentral:rRNA from 1 species
UACGUAGGCAGCAAACGUUGUUCGGAAUUACUGGGCGUAAAGAGUGUGUAGGCGGCUUUGUAAGUUCUGUGUGAAAUCUCCCGGCUCAACUGGGAGGGUGCGCCGAAUACUGCAAGGCUUGAGUACUGGAGAGGAUAGCGGAAUUCCUGGUGUAGCGGUGAAAUGCGUAGAUAUCAGGAGGAACACCGGCGGUGUAGACGGCUAUCUGGACAGUAACUGACGCUGAGACACGAAGGCGUGGGGAGCAAACAGG